GACGUAGGGCGCGAGCGUUGUCCGGAUUUAUUGGGCGUAAAGAGCUCGUAGGCGGCUUGUCGCGUCGUCCGUGAAAACUUGGGGCUCAACCCCAAGCUUGCGGUCGAUACGGGCAGGCUAGAGUUCGGUAGGGGAAACUGGAAUUCCUGGUGUAGCGGUGAAAUGCGCAGAUACCAGGAGGAACACCAAUGGCGAAGGCAGCUCGCUGGGACGGUACUGACGCUGAGACGCGAAAGCGUGGGGAGCAAACAGG
rnacentral:rRNA from 1 species